rnacentral:lncRNA from 1 species
CAAGGUCACCUGAGAGAGGUGACAAACUGAAACAAACAACCUAGGUUACUACGAAAAUUAAAGCUUUAUUUUGAAGUUUUUAAUUUUAAUGGCCAUGCACAAUAAUAGAAUCUUCUCACAUAUUGCAAAAUUCUAUGUUCACUUUCAACUGAUUACUAUUUGCAAUUCAUAUUGCACUCUCAAAACAUCCAAAGAAGCAUUUGUUUCUCCUAGGUUUUAAACCAUCGUGUCCUGUUGCAAUCAAGUUUGCUCUGUCCUAUAAUUUUUCCGUAUUCAUAUCAUCUAUAUAUAUCUGCCUCUCCUGCUUGAUGAUUCUUGCAUCCAUCUCAAAGUUCUUGCACCUAUUGAUUUUCCUUUCUAACUCAGCUCCCUGGAUAAUUGGACACAUAAUAGAUCAUCCUUUUCUGAACAACUGUAUUAACCUCUCUCAAAGUUAAAAGGAAACCAUGACAUUUUACCUGCGUCACACCAAACCAUAAUGGCAAACCGGAUCUGCAUACAGUCUUCUGUUAUCGAUAAGAUGGCAUUUGCCUCCAUCCACAUGGAUCUUGCCAUUAGAAGGGAGACCCCUGCAUGAUGGUAAUUGACUCAUUCAAUUUUACGUAAAACAUUUUUGAUUUUUUUCUUUUCUAAUUUAAAAAAAUUGGAAUGUUAUCUAGAUGUCUGUCAUUAUAGGAGCAGAUACUAAGGUUGAUAGGUGAUAUUGGGAUCUAAGGCUGGUUUUUGGGCUUUCAAUGUGUGAUGCUGUCGGAUUAUUUGGAUUGUGCUUGGAUUAUAGAAGUUGCAGAUUUGGGCACUAAAGUAGCAUAUUAUGGGCAUCUGUUCGCUGCUAUAUCAGGGUUUCUGUUAAGGAAUUUGAACUGUACAUGGUAGAAGAUGCAUGCUUUAACAUUUAACUGGAUGGGUGGUGUAGAGAUGGUCCCCAUAACAUGCGCCCAUGGCAAGGAAUAUGGGUCCGAGAGUGAAGUGAUUUCUUGAGGUUGAAGUGCAGAUCAUGGAUUCUGCCCUUGCUAUUGGAUUUUGACAAAAGAGAUGAGUGAUGAGACCCUCAGCCCUCAAUAUACCUCCCAGUGUUUAUCUUAUUGAAGGCAAAAAGAAAGGAAAUAUUAGUUUGGGAGGUUUGGAGAGAAACAUUUGUGAAAAGAAGAUCCUAAAUUUUUGUCUAGUUUUGGGCUUUCGAAAUAGGCUGCUAUUGGAGGUUGCCCCGUAAAUGCGGAUUGCAAUUGCACAUCCAGUCUGUUUUCAGGGAGGUAGAAGUAGUCCCUGUGGUUAAUUAGGUGAUGUCGGUUCACUUCAAGGAUGGGUUUAGAAUGAUUCUUUGUACAUGGCAUUGAGCCAAAAGAAACAAGUUGGUAGUGGAUGUGCUUCUUUGACUGUCAACAAAUACUUGCAAACCUUGAGAUUACAGCAAGACCUCCCCAGCCCGAUGUCCUCGAGUGUUCAAGUUUGUGCUUGUUUUUAUAGGCUACAAUUUUGAGACAUUCGUGAUUUUAAUACUUCCCUUUUAUUCACAAAACAAACAAAAAAAGAGAAGGGGGGGGGGGGGUAUGUGUUAAGCUUUUUAAAGCAAGGGUAGUCAUGUAAUUUUGCAUUAACAUGGUGUAUUAAGAUGCUAUCUUUAAGCAUAUAAACUAAAACUGGUAUAUGUAUCCAAUCUUCUCCAAAAGUAAACCCUCUAAGCCAACCUUUUCUUUGGAUUACAAUUAUUCAUCGCAGUUUUAGGAAGUUAUCUAUAGAUUUUUUCCUAUUUUGAAUACAAAUUCUCUCUAAAAAUUAUGCCAAAUACUAUAAAUUUUCAGACAUCCAAUUUCUAUAUUCUUUCUAUGUAAAUUUUGUAUCAGUUAUGAGAUUUGAGAGGUUAUCUGUUUGGUAAAUGGGAAACAAACUGUUAGGAAGGAUUUGUAUCAGAUUUGAGAGGAUCUUUUGAGAGGUAUUAUUAUAUUAUUAUCAUUAUUAUUUUAUAAUCAGGAUGCUAGUAUAGCCAGGUCGAGUUUUUCUUUUGUAUUCUUUCUCUGUUUCUCUUUUUUUUUUUUCGUUACAUGGGGUGGUUAGCAUAUUUCAUAUUUAGCAGUUUCGUGGAUCUCCGAAUGGAUUUCAUCAGGCAUCUAAGUCCUGACGUCAGACCUCUUACUGACUGAUUUUCCUCCUCACAAGAGUCUUAUAUACUUUGAUGGCUGUCCCAAAAGGGAUCAAUGGAUGCCCAGACUCUGGAGAUCAUUGAAGGUGAAUGGAGAGAUAUCUUUCGGUAUUAUACAUCACCUUCUAGGUUCCGGGCUUUGCUUGGUUCUUUUUGAGUAGCCUGCUUAAAUGGCUUACCUUGUAGUUGUCUUUGGCAGGUAACAGGAGAUCGAACCCCAGGCUACAAUGUUGCAGCCCUUAGUCAAGAGACCCAACCCCUAAUUGUUAUGUAAGUGUUGUUCGUCGAAUUUUUGUUGUGCCAGGUAUAUUAGGGCAUCAACUCUCUGGGGUAAAGCCAGAAAUUCAGGUGACUAGGAGAUGAAGGAUAUAUCUUUUGUGAAUUUAAAACCAAGCCUUCUCAUUGAUUGCACCAUUUUGUGUCCUUUUCAUCAGCUAUGCCCUAUCAACCAUUUUAUCAGUCAAAUAGCCCUUUUUUAAUAGGCAAGGAAAAGGAAAUGCAUAAAUCUGAUAAAUUUACAUACUUUAAAUAUUGGCAGAGUGUGAGUAGCCCUGAGACAAUCACAUUCCCUCCUUUGUGGUCUCUAUUGUCAGCAUCUUCGCCAUGACCUGAAAAUUUUAACCAGAUGCCCGGGAUUGUCUAUGUUAGAGAAGCCAAUGAUUCAGUGACCAAUAUAAUUAAGAUUAACAUAGAAACUUUAGGAAGGUAAGAAACAUUACCAGUAAAGAAAAGGUAAAUAAGAAGCAUUGUUGAGGCCUGAAACCAAGGAGAAGCAAGCAUUUUCAUAAAAACUAGGAGCAAGGAGAGAUAAUUGGAAGCUCUUACAAUGGCUUUGGCCUAUAU